UACGUAGGGUGCAAGCGUUGUCCGGAAUUAUUGGGCGUAAAGAGCGUGUAGGCGGUCCGGUAGGUCAGCUGUGAAAGUCAAGGGCUCAACCCUUGAAAGCCGGUUGAUACUGUCGGGCUAGAGUCCGGAAGAGGCGAGUGGAAUUCCCGGUGUAGCGGUGAAAUGCGCAGAUAUCGGGAGGAACACCAAUGGCGAAGGCAGCUCGCUGGGACGGUACUGACGCUGAGACGCGAAAGCGUGGGGAGCAAACAGG
rnacentral:rRNA from 1 species